ACUCCUGCGGGAGGCAGCAGUGGGGAAUUUUGGACAAUGGGCGAAAGCCUGAUCCAGCAAUGCCGCGUGUGUGAAGAAGGCCUUCGGGUUGUAAAGCACUUUUGUCCGGAAAGAAAUCCUUGGCUCUAAUACAGUCGGGGGAUGACGGUACCGGAAGAAUAAGCACCGGCUAACUACGUGCCAGCAGCCGCGGUAAUACGUAGGGUGCGAGCGUUAAUCGGAAUUACUGGGCGUAAAGCGUGCGCAGGCGGUUUGCUAAGACCGAUGUGAAAUCCCCGGGCUCAACCUGGGAACUGCAUUGGUGACUGGCAGGCUAGAGUAUGGCAGAGGGGGGUAGAAUUCCACGUGUAGCAGUGAAAUGCGUAGAGAUGUGGAGGAAUACCGAUGGCGAAGGCAGCCCCCUGGACCAAUACUGACGCUCAUGCACGAAAGCGUGGGGAGCAAACAGGAUUAGAUACCCGAGUAGUCCCAUGA
rnacentral:rRNA from 1 species